CGUGCUCUUCGUAGUGAAGAUCGUGAGAGAGGAAACCUGGGAAACAUCCAUUGCUGAUUCACUGCUCUAUGCAAAGGGCUUAUUGCUGGCAGUUACUUUGGUUAUCGACUAUUGGUUGGCCCUUGGCUACUUUCUGGGAUUUGUUGUUAUAUAUGCUGUAGCUCAACAACCACCUUAUGAUGGCCUAGGUAUUUUUUAUACGUUCUUAUUCUAUAUUAAUUAUGGAUAUGACUA